CGGCAACAGCUCAAAUUUGAAAUCUGGCUCUCGGGCCCGAGUUGUAAUUUGCAGAGGGCGCUUUGGUGUCGGCAGCGGUCCAAGUUCCUUGGAACAGGACGUCACAGAGGGUGAGAAUCCCGUACGUGGUCGCUGACCUACACCGUGUAAAGCCCCUUCGAC
rnacentral:rRNA from 1 species